rnacentral:rRNA from 1 species
CACGCCCUCAACGAUGCGAGCUCGGUGUGGGACCUUCAAUCUGGUCCCGUGCCCUAAGCUUACGCGGUAAGCUCGCCGCCUGGGAAGUACGGCCGCAAGGCUAAAACUCAAAGGAAUAGACGGGGACCCACACAAGCGGUGGAGCAUGGGGUUUAAUUCGAUGACAAGCGAAGCACCUCACCCAGGCUUGACAUCUAGGGAAUUCUGAAGAAAUUCGGAAGUGCCGCAAGGAACCCUAAGACAGGCGC